CAAGAACAGUAAUCAACACUGCAGUCGUUGAUGACCACACAGAGUUUAUACGCUACAUGCUGGAGGAAAACCUGGCUAUUCUAAACUUCAUCGACCAAGAUAUAUUUUCUAAAAACACACACCAUUGUAAAUAUCACCAGCCAGAAACAGCAUAUCUUGCUUUGGAAAAUAAUGAGAAGAAAAUGAAUGGGUCGACUCAAAGGACAGAGAAUAAUAUUGUACAAGAAAAUACCGCUUGGAAUAAUUUGAUCAGCCGAAUAAAUCCA